rnacentral:rRNA from 1 species
UACAGAGGUCCCAAGCGUUGUUCGGAUUCACUGGGCGUAAAGGGUGCGUAGGUGGUCGGGUAAGUCUGAUGUGAAAUCUCCAAGCUCAACUUGGAAACUGCAUCGGAUACUAUUCGGCUGGAGGGUUGGAGGGGGGGACUGGAAUGCUUGGUGUAGCAGUGAAAUGCGUAGAUAUCAAGCGGAACACCAGUGGCGAAGGCGAGUCCCUGGACAACUCCUGACACUGAGGCACGAAAAGCUAGGGGGGAGCAAAACAGG